rnacentral:lncRNA from 1 species
AUGAAGACAGCAGGAUCCCUGGAGCAGAGACUGGACUCGGAGGCGUGUGCUUGGCUCAGAGUCUUCUUCAUCCAUAUGGCUUCUGCAGGCCAAGGCUUUCCACGGCUGGUGCCUGCUGCAUCUCAGUUCCAGAAUUCCGGGCUGGACUUCUCCCUAAUCAAGAGUGGACUGUGGCAGACCUACUCUCUCUGCCUGGAAGGUAAAUUUUGUCAAGGGAGGCAGAACCAUCUUAUUGCUGCAAGUUGGGGCAGAGGAAAGACAAGAGAGGCAUCCCCCCCAAAAUGCAUAGGCUUUAAAUCAGACAGAGCCUGUGUGAAAUCCUUGCUCCUCCGCUUAAAAAGAGGUGUGAUCUUAAGUAAGUCAUGUAAACUCUUUCAGGCUUAGUUUUCUCGUCUUUAAGAUGUCGAGUAGGAUAUCUCUAUCACUCAUGCCAAAAUUAGAUAAAAUGACAUAUAAAGCCCUGGAAACACAUAUGAGAUGGUAUUAUGGUAGCCCUUAUAAUGUUUGUUAAUAAUAUGGUUAUUUAUGACCAUUUGGAUGGGGGAGAAAAGGUGGCUUCUUUUUUUCCUCUUAGAUUUGAGGAUUAACAGGGGAACUCUUGAUGCUGGUUGUUAAGAAACACAUCUAGGCAAGUAGGUGCAUGUUUCCAAUGAUAUUUAAGUGAGUUUUUCUAGUUCUGAGAGAAUCCUUUCAAAGCAACUUCUGGGCCCUGCGGAGGUCCUGGUUCACCUUUGUAUUGGCUUCACGAGAAUCGAAUCGGGACAACCUUAUUUGAACAGGCAAGUCAUUGUACUUAUUGCCUGGCCAAAAUCUAGUAGCAAAACAUUCCUGCUGUAAGCCACAAGGCACUUUCGAGAUGGGCUGAUUAUCUGUAAAAUAACUGAUAAGGAAAACAUUACUUAUCAGAAUCAAGCAGUGCCAGAGAAGAAUGCACAGUGGCAUUUUGUGUGUCAGCUGGAUUGGGCCACAGGGUGCCCAGAGACUUGGUGAAGCAUUGUUCUGGGUAUGUCUGUUAGGGUGUUUCUGGAUGGGGUUAAUAUUGGAAUUGGCAGACUGAGUGAAGCGCCUGGCCCUUCCCAAUGCUGGUGGGCCUCACCCAAUCUGUUGAAGGCCUGAAUAGAAUGAAAGGCUGAGUAAGAAAGAAUUCUUUGUCUCUGCUGGACUGUCUUUGAGCUGGGACAUUGGUCCUCUUCCGCCUUUGGAUUCGGCCUCGAGCUGGAACUUACACCAUCGGCUCUCCUGCGUCUCCAGCUUGCUGUCUGCAGAUCUUGGGAAUUCUGAGCCUCCAUAAUUGCAUGUGCCAGUUCCUUAUAAUAAAUUUAUUUAUAUAGCCUAUGGAUUCUGUUUC